rnacentral:rRNA from 1 species
UACAGAGGUCUCAAGCGUUGUUCGGAUUCAUUGGGCGUAAAGGGCUGGUAGGCGGCCAACUAAGUCGGAUGUGAAAUCCCCAGGCUUAACCUGGGAACUGGCAUCCGAUACUGGUCGGCUUGAAUCCGGGAGAGGGAUGCAGAAUUCCAGGUGUAGCGGUGAAAUGCGCAGAUAUCGGGAGGAACACCAAUGGCGAAGGCGGGUCUCUGGACAGUUCCUGACGCUGAGGCACGAAGGUCAGGGGAGCAAACGGG